UACGUAGGGUGCAAGCGUUGUCCGGAAUUAUUGGGCGUAAAGAGCUCGUAGGCGGUCUGUCGCGUCUGCUGUGAAAACCUGGGGCUUAACCCCGGGCCUGCAGUGGGUACGGGCAGACUAGAGUGCGGUAGGGGAGACUGGAAUUCCUGGUGUAGCGGUGAAAUGCGCAGAUAUCAGGAGAACACCCGGUGGCUAAGGCGG
rnacentral:rRNA from 1 species